GACGAAAUUCCCCAUGAAGUUCACACAAGAUUGAAGAAGGUGUAUCUUACUCUUUUCUGUGCCAUGUUGAGCUCUGCUUUUGGAUCCUAUUUGCAAUGGAUCUCGAUAGCCGGAGGGAAAUUCACAGUCCUUUCUUGUGUAGCAAGUUUAAUCUGGAUUUACUUUACUCCACCAGGGAGACUGAAGACGAGAGUCUUACUCUUGAUGUUGGCUGCCUAUUCAUUCGGUGCUUCUAUUAGUGCUUAUAUCAAUUAUCUCUACAAAAUCGAGCAAUG